CAAAACUGCAAGGAAAAAAUAGAGAAAGGAGAAUUUCUGGAUGCAUACAUCCAAGUUUAGGGCCAGUACACUUUGGUGACAGAACCCCAGAAGAGAUUUAAAAUCACAAAAUAUGCAGCAAAGUAAGACUUUUAAAAUACUGUAUGUACAGUGGUACCUCGGGUUAAGUAUUUAAUUCGUUGCAGAGGUUUGUUCUUAACCUGAAACUGUUCUUAACCUGAAGCACCAAUUUAGCUAAUGGGGGCUCCUGCUGUUGGCGUGCCGCUGGAGCACGAUUUCUGUUCUCAACCUGAAGCAAAGUUCUUAACCCAAGGUAAUAUCUCUGGGUUAGCGGAGUUUGUAACCUGAAGCGUAUGUAACCUGAAGCAUAUGUAACCUGAGGUACCACUGUAAUUCCAAGUUCCUUCUAGUGUUUUUCACUUCCCCUAGCAUAAGAAGAUCUCACAUUUGGUAAGUUAAAAAUGGUUGUUUACAAACUCUCCAAAGGUCAGAUUCAUGUGUUUUUCCAUAUAGCAUUCAGAAAAAAGUGGCACAGGUAGUAAAACUUGACUUAGCAUUUGGGAAUGCCAUUUCCAGAGGAGAUAUAAACUUUCAAUGACUGAGUUUUGUUGUGGGGUGUAACUAACACUUCUCAUGUGUCUUAUUCCUUCCUCCCUCAGGCAGAUUUUCACGUGGUGUGAGAUAAACUCACCUCUGUUAUAGAGGACCAAUGCUGCAGGAGUACCGGUAAGUGGGAAGGUGGCGGCAACAACUACUGGAGUGUAGUUGGCAGCAUUGUGGGGUUGUGCCCAUCCACCACCCCCGCUUUGGCAGGAAGCUGCCUCUCCCAGACACAAUAGUUCUGCUUCCUGAGGGUUCUUCUGCAAGCACAAGUGCCGGCUCAUCCAACUCCCCAAGCUGGGCGGCAGGGCUGGCUGGAGGGGGAAACAAACACUCCGGGAUCAAAUCAGAAGCCAGGGUGGAUUCUGUAAUUCCGGGACUGUCCUGGGAAAAUAGGGGCACUUGAAAGGUAUGUAACCCUAACCCCGGCACUAACUCUAACUCUGGCCAGGCCCAUACAAAGGCCCUGGGUGGCUGGGAGGUGCAGGGCAUUCCUGGCAUGACAGCAGAAGUCCAGCCGGCCACUUGCAGGGUCCCCAGCUUGCUUAGCCCUCUCAGACCUGGGGCAAGUGUAUUUGGCAGCCCCCCACCCACGCAUGGGCCUGACUCUGGCCCUAACCCUUAUCAUAAACUUAACCUCAGCCCUAAUCCUAGUCCUAAACAUACCUCCGACUCUAACCCCAACCCUUAUCUGAACCUCAAGCUUAGUCCUAACCCACUCCUUAACCUCAAACCAAAUGUAACCCUAACCACAAAUAACACUAACAGUAACCAGAACCCUAACACUAAUGCUAACCCCAACCCAAUCUCAUUGCAGUUCUCAGCAGUACAAACGGUCUCCUCCAGCUUUUGCUGAUUCCUUCCUUUGUUCUUUGCCGCCUGCUCCUGCUUUCUAGCCCACUCCAAUCUUUUCUCUUCAGUUUCCUUGAUAUUCACUCCCCUUCCUGCUGCCUCUCUCCUUGGAGAAGUGCAGCUGGAUUGGGAAGGCUUUUGGAAGGGAAACUCUGGGAAACAAAGUUUGGAGUUCCAAAUCAAUGCCUGUGUCCAUAACCUGUUAGCAGACCCUGCAGCUUGGGUGAAUUAGAUUGGAAUAAUCACUUCUAGUUUCUGGCAUUCAAAGGCUUUAUUCAUGCAGAAACUAUUUUCUGGAGAGGUAUGCACUUGAGGAUGAAUUUCUAAAAGAAGAGAGGGAAGUGGCUUGAUGAGCAGGGGAAGAGGUUGUUUCUUUCAGGCCAGGGAGGCAGGUUCCAAGUCUGAGAGUGUACAUUUUGAGGCGCAUUGGUGGAGGUGCUCCACCCAUGUUUGGUGAGAGAGUGGGUGCAAUCUGCAUACGUUGCCUCCAUAGGCUUUGGCCAGACGCCUAUCCUUCCUCUGCCUGUGCCUUUCUCAGCACCAGCCCCUUUCCCUCUUCAUUCUUAAGCAGGGAGCCUCAGAAUGCAGACGCCAGACCCUGCAGCCUCUUGUGCCUGAGUGGGUGGGAAAUGGCAGUGUGGGAGUAAAGAGAUAGCUGUUUUCAAUUAGACUUCUUUUCUCCAGCUAGAGACAGAAAUCGAGGAAACCUGAUCCCUGGUUCUUUCUAACCAGUCAGCUCCGAGGAAGAAAGAGGCAGCUGGGUGGGAGAACAAUUCCUGUCAUUAGUACAUGCUGAUAUUUUUCUUUUUGGCCCACCUAGAGAUCUCCAUCAUCCAUUCUGUGCCCCUCGACCAUUUUUUUCUGGUGCCUCCACUAGAUGACCACCUACAGCCAG